GUACUUAUUUCUAAUAUAUUAGUUGAUGAAGUGCAAAACCCCAAUUUUUUUUUUAAAUUUUUUUUUCAUUCUGGAAAAAGAAACAUAUGAUCAAAAAAGAUAUUUUAAUAUGAAGCCUGAGACAUAUAGAUUUUUAUAAAUUGACAUCAGUAUGUGAAAUAAUUGUUAUGUUUCUGAAGAAAUCAAUGUUGUAUGUUUCAUGACAAUUGAUGUUUUGUUAACAUUAUCAGUAUUUGAAUAUUGAUAUUACAAUCUUAUAUCUAUUUUUUUCUUUUUUAUAAUCGAAAAUAUUACUUCAGUUUGAAUUCUGAGAAAGAAAAAAAAAUCCUAAUUUAUUCUGUCAGAAUGCUCUAUCGAAUAUGAUUUAAAAUUUUGUGUGUUGAAUAACUUGUUUGAUUUUAUAAUAUCUGCUUUUAUUAUUCAAUAUCUUUUUGCUAAUCAUCAGUAUUAAAGCUUGUAUGUGAUAUAUAAUGAUGUAUGUUACAGGGUUUGCUAUAAUGAUAGAGCUCAAUGUUAUCAAAAUUUACAAUAUGUGAGAACUAUGUAUUUCAAAUAAGUUUGUUUAAAUUUAGAAAUCUUUUAUUUUGUGUUAUGUUUACAUAGAUGUGAUAUAUUUACAUGUUUGUGUUGUUGUUUUAUCUUAAAAACAUUAUAUUUCUAUAUUUAUGAUUUUGAAUUAUGUUAUUUAUAUAUAAGAAUCUGUGAUAUAUUAUACCAUUCUUUACAAUGUAGUUUGUUUGUAUGCUUUUUGAAAGCAACUUGCACUGAUAAUUUUCAUAUUAAAUAAGUUUUUUACAUGUUUUAACUGACAGCCAAGUUAAAAGCCUGAACUGGCUCCCACACAACUUAAAACUUAUAUUUGUUAAGAGUUAAAUUGAAAGAAAGUCAAUUACUAUUUAUAGAAAAAAAUAAUUUUGAUGAUAUAUUGUAUAUUCCCAAAUCAGUCUAUCAAAUUGAUGAUAAUCGCAGGAAUUUUUAGACAAAUUAAUGAAUAUUUCUGUAACUGACAUGGGUCACUAAAACUCUUCCAAUUUUUUCUAUAAAACAAUUUUGUUUAAAUAUUUUGAAUAUUAUUAACAAUCUUUGACAAUGUAUUUACAAUAUGUAAUUGAUUGCUUAUUAUCAUAUUGCUUCAAUCAUUUUAAUCUUUAUUAAAAUUUUAAGAAAAUCAGAAAA
rnacentral:lncRNA from 1 species